rnacentral:rRNA from 1 species
UACGUAGGGGGCAAGCGUUGUCCGGAUUUAUUGGGCGUAAAGAGCGCGUAGGCGGUCAGGCAGGUCAGCUGUGAAAACUCGAGGCUCAACCUCGAGAUGUCGGCUGAAACCAUCUGGCUAGAGUCCGGAAGAGGAGAAUGGAAUUCCCGGUGUAGCGGUGAAAUGCGCAGAUAUCGGGAAGAACGCCCGUGGCGAAGGCGGUUCUCUGGGACGGUACUGACGCUGAGACGCGAAAGCGUGGGGAGCGAACAGG